rnacentral:rRNA from 1 species
UACGGAGGAUGCGAGCGUUAUCCGGAUUUAUUGGGUUUAAAGGGUGCGUAGGCGGCUUUUUAAGUCAGCGGUGAAAUUUUGCAGCUUGACUGUAACAGUGCCGUUGAUACUGGGGAGCUAGGAUUUGGUUGCUGUGGGUGGAAUGUGUGGUGUAGCGGUGAAAUGCUUAGAGAUCACACAGAAUAUCGAUUGCGAAGGCAGCUCACAAAGCCAAGAUUGACGCUGAGGCACGAAAGUGUGGGGAUCAAACAGGAUUA